GACGAACGCUGGCGGCGUGCUUAACACAUGCAAGUCGUACGGUAAGGCCCUUUCGGGGGUCCACGAGUGGCGAACGGGUGAGUAACACGUGAGUAACCUGCCCACAACUUUGGGAUAACGCUAGGAAACUGGUGCUAAUACUGGAUAUGUGCUCCUGCUGCAUGGUGGGGGUUGGAAAGCUCCGGCGGUUGUGGAUGGACUCGCGGCCUAUCAGCUUGUUGGUGGGGUAGUGGCCUACCAAGGCGGCGACGGGUAGCCGGCCUGAGAGGGUGACCGGCCACAGUGGGACUGAGAGACGGCCCAGACGCCGACGGGAGGCAGCAGGGGGGAAUAUUGCACAAGGGGCGCAAGCCUGAUGCAGCAACGCCGCGGGCGGGAUGACGGCCUUCGGGUUGUAAACCGCUUUCAGCAGGGACGAAGCUUUUUGUGACGGUACCUGCAGAAGAAGCACCGGCUAACUACGUG
rnacentral:rRNA from 1 species